UGUAAAGCUGUAAACAAGGAAUGAAAAGAUAACAUAAUGAUAGUGACUCACUACCAAUCCCAAUGAGUACAUAGACUCUCCCAAAUCACCUUACAAGAUGACCAUGACCCCAUUGACUCUAACAGAAAACUAGGCUAAAUUAUUCAUUUCUCAUACUACUCCUUAUACAAGAUGAUCCCAUUGACUCUAACAGAAAACUAGGCUAAAUUAUUUAUUCAUUUCUCAUACUACUCCUUAUAUAGUAGCCGUGCACACAUCAUGCACAUGACUCACACACCUUCUGCACAUGCUUUACUUGCCAGCUACUCCUUCC
rnacentral:lncRNA from 1 species